AUCCACCCUUCCAUAAUCAAAUCUAAAAUACUACCCUAAUCCCCCCAUUCUUUUCUCUUAGCUACCUCCAAGCACUCUCCUCUCUAGACCUCUCUCGAAGGUUCUUGAAACCCUAAUCGCUUUCUACCAUUUUCAACCGCAAACUCACUGGAAUCCAUGGCCUCUCAGGCCAUGGAUUGCCUAUACCCAUCUAUCUUUGCUCUUAAAUGCUUGGUGUUCGAAGUUUUGAGGUCUGACCUCGAUGGUGUCCGUUUAGAUUUUCUCAGAUUCAAGGUUCCAUGGCCUCUCCAGCUUUCCUCCAGCGUAUCUAAAGCAUUUCGAGCCUGUUUCUCAUUCAUCUGGCUUAGAUUGGACCUUUUCCAAGCCUUUCUUUCUUUAAGGUUCCUCUGAAACCCUAGUUAUCUGAGGUUUUCUUUGUUUGUUUUCUUAGAUCGGUUCUAUAUCUAUGCUCUACUUGAGUUUUAAAACGUUUUCCCCAAUUUUUCUUUCAAAAUUACUUCUCUCCGACUUAGGGUUUCUAAAAAACAAAAAAAAAUGUUUUCUCUGACUAUUCUUUUCCUUUUUCUUUGUGUAUAUUUGUCAUGCAUGUGUUUCUACUACUUUCUUAUGCCUUGUCUUUCUAUUUAUGUUACUACACCAUGCGUACAUGUUCUCCUACUCUAUUUUCCUAUAUGUCUUGUUAAUAUACUUUUCUGGUAUUUUGUGUUCUCCUACUGUAUGUAUCUCCUCCUGAGUUCUUAAGUUCCUUGCUUGCCUUUUUACUGGACCUUGUUUGAGUUCUCUUUUGAACAUGUUUCGUCUACUGUUUUCUUAAGUGUUAUACUACCUCUUCUCUCUUCUGGACCUGUUUAAAUCCCCUCACUAUGUUCCAAAUUAGUUUUUUCACUUUGUUGUUUCAAACUUGCUAUUGUAUCUGUUUGUUUUCUCAUAAGUCCCUGAGAGAGACCUCUGAGCCUGCUUCAAUUAUUUUUCUCCUCGUCUUUAUAUCUGAUUCGAGUUGAAAACCCUAG
rnacentral:lncRNA from 1 species